AAUCAGGUAAGGAUACCCGCUGAACUUAAGCAUAUCAAUAAGGCGGAGGAAGAG
rnacentral:rRNA from 1 species